rnacentral:lncRNA from 1 species
UUUUUUUUUUUUUGCUAUUUCUGGUAUAAUAAAAAUCAAUAUUUUGUUUAACUGUGAUCUCAUUCUUAUUAUCUUGCUACUAUUUUAUCACUAUAAGUAUAUGUAUCUUUAGGAGUUCCCGCUGAGGCACAAUGGGAUUGGCAGCAUCUCUGCAGUGCUGGGAUGCAGGUUUAAUCCGUGGCCCUGCAGAUUGGGUUAGGGAUCUGGCAUUGCCGUAGCUGCAGUGUGGCUUGGAUUUGAUCCCUGGCCCAGCAAUGCCAUAUGCCUCAGGGCAACCAAAAAAGAAAAAAAAAUUUUUUUUUGAAAAGCAUAUGUAUUUUUAAAUAUUUAGUAAUAUUUGUUGCAUGCAUGUAGGUAUAUGAAAAUAUAUAUUUAAAUUUUUUUCUCUUAUUAUUUAAUUUAAUUUCUGUCUCGAGGCUCGCAUGUUUUUUACUCAAAGACUUCGGCCACUGUAGGCAUCUUUUUUCCCUGUAAAGCCCUAUGUUCUAUGAUCGCACAUUUACCUCCUGGAAGAAUUUUAUGACCCUUUCUUUUGGUGUUUGCAAAGAACCACUGUAUUUUCUGUCGCAGAAACCCAAUUCCACAGUCCUAACACUGCCGACCAUUUCUUUUCUUUCUGUUUGUUUUUUUUACAGCCACACCUGUGGCAUUUGGAAGUUCCCAGGCUAGGGGUUGAAUCAGAGCUGCGGCUGCCAGCCUACACCACAGCCACAGCAGCACUGGAUCCGAACCACAUCUGCAACCUAUGCUGCUGCCGUUUGCGGCAACUUAACCCCCUGAGCGAGGCCAGGGAUCCAACCCGAAUCCUCAUGGAGACAACCUCAGGUCCUUAACCUAUGAGCUGCAGCAGGAGCUCCCAGGUCAUCCUUGCUUUUCACUUCUCUUUUUUAAAUCAUCAUUUCUAAGGGGCAAAACAAAGGCUGGACGAGAGAGGGGGAGAAUCACAAAUGAAAUUGUCAUGAAGGGCAGCAUCACAGAGGAGAGGUGGUGAGGGGCCCACCUGUGCUGGGGCCCCCCCUGGUGGCACUGGAGGAAACUCGAAGAUCGAGGUGGGCUUGUAUGGCCUUGGGGCUUCAAAAGAGUCACUGGGACACCCCAAGCUGCCCUUUCCAGCAGCCUUCAUCCUCCUGUGCUGUUCCCUGCGAACGUGGUACUGAUGGCUCAGGCCCUGCCAUUCACACUGAUGCCAGGGCCACAGAGCCUGUGGGGCUGGUUACGGGGGCCCGAGGGCAGGAUUCGAGGUCCUGCUUUGGGAGGAGAGGGUCUCAGCCCCGUAAUCCUCUCUGAACCCACCCUGGACACUCAGCCCCUGCCAGGUGCGGUCAUCGCCUCCCCCCACCCUAUUCCAUCUCUCUCCAGCUGAACCCCUGAGUCGGCCCCUCUCAGAAUCCUCCCACCGAUGAUUCUGGACCAAAUUCAAGGCUUGAAGCAGGAAGGCCCUUCACUCACAAAGAAGAAAGGCUUUCUGUCUGCGUCUCUCUUGCUCGACAUGCUUGUCUCAAAGCUCCCGGGGGGCAAGGGACAUCCCCCCAAAAUGGGUUUAUUCCAGGCGGUGCUGCACUUUUUCUCCCCCGUAUUCAUAAUCGGGGGGGAAGCGUUUCCCUGCUUUCUGUACGCCUUGUGCUCUGGAGGAGAGAUGCCAGGGCCUGGCGCUGUCUCCACUGCCUGCUGGCUUUGGUCUACACUGUCUCCGCGUCUCUGAGACUAUUCCCUCAGGGAAUAGGGAAACAAGCGAAGCUGGAUGGAGAGCUGGCAGAGGCCGCCGCUGAUCCAUUGAAGUGACACCAUUUUACUGAAUUCCAUGAUUUGGGCCCCGUUUUAUAUGAGUUCCAGGUUCUCUCUAAAAAAUACAACACCAGUUACACCCAUGACAUUCAACUAUACUUCAAUAAAAUAAAUCGACUAUACUUCAAUAAAAAUUUAAAAAUUAAAAAAAAAUUCUCAAUUAGAAAAAUGAACAGGAGUUCCUGUUGUGGCUCAGUGGUUAAUGAACUCAACUAGUAUUUAUGAGGAAGCAGGUUCGAUACCUGGCCUUGCUCAGAGGGUUCACAAUCUGAGCUGCAUCCGUGGUGCCAUGGCUGCGGUGUAGGCCGGCAACAGCAGCUCCAAUUUGACCCCUAGCCCGGGAACCUCCAUGUGCCACAAGUGCAGCCCUAAAAAAGCAAAAAAAAAAAAAGCAAAAAAAGAGAGAAAAGAAUAAAAACUAUCUACAUUGAGAUCUAUAGCAUGAGGGGCAGUGAGUUAGCCAACUUACCAAGAUAAACUAAUUAUGCAUGCUAAUGACUAUUCACCCAGGAUGUAAAUGUUUCUGCAUACCCAUUAAUAAAAAAGCGUAUCACAAUAUCAAAAAUACAUAUAGAACACCAUAUCCUCCCCGCUUCACAGAUAAUUGAUCCCUCCUUUCAAACAAAAGUCUCCCCUCUUAAAUCCUCCUGCGACCUCCCAGAAUUUGAGAUACAUAGUAAACAUCAGUUAAAAAAUCUUGUCACGGCUUGCAAAUGGCAAACCAUUCUGGGCUUAAGCAGGCUUAAGUCUUAUCAACUUUACCCAGACAUUUUAAUUCACUUAUAAUAGCAGCAGCUGACACUUUUGAACUCUCACAAUAGCAGGCGUUGUUCUAACAGGUUGCACUGUCUAAACAUCCCUUCACUGGAUCCUGAUGAUAACUUGGUGAUUAUCACAUCCCCGUCUUAUUUUAUUUUAUUUAUUUAUUUCAUUUUUGUCUUUUUAGGGCUUUAUCCUCAGCAUAUGGAAGUCCCCAGACUAGAGGUCCAGUCAGAGCUACAGCUGCCGGCCUACAUCACAGCCACAGCCAGGCAGGAUCUGAGCUAUGCCUGCAACCUACACCACAGCUCACGGCAACAUCAGAUCCUUAACCCACUGAGCAAAGCCAGGGAUCGAACCUGUGUCCUCAUGGAUACUAGUCAGAUUUGUCUCCAUUGAGCUGCAACAGGAGCUUCCAUCACAUCCCAUUUUACAGAUGAGUCAACUGAGGCACAUGGAGGCAAAUCCCUUUCCUGAGGCCAUGCUCCUGGGGAGGGAGGGAGCAGGACUCACAUCUAGCGGUUAGCUCCUGAGCCUGUGCCCUUCCUCAGACUUGUAGCACCCAUCCCUCUUCCCUGCUUAUCUUUCCACCCACCUGCUCACUUUCCAGAAGCUUCCCUCGGCUCUGCUUUUUCCCUUCUCCCAAAUGCCAGCCGCUGUUUCCCUGCUCCAGGUUACACGGUACCAUUUAUCUGGCUCAAGAUGGCUACCGUCUUUGCACAACUGUCGUCUUCCUGUAACCCUCCAAACAAAACUGAGGAUAGAGGGGAGGAGAAUAGGCAACCUCCCUAAUAUGCAUUGCGGAGGGGCCGGCGGGGGGCGGGGGGGGGGGGGGUCAGAGGCCUGGGAGGAACCAAGGUCUCUGCCAAUAAAUAGCAGCAGCCCCUGGAGGUGGGUCCCCGCCAUGCCCUUUGCUCAUCUUCACCCGCUAAACCCCAGCGUUUCCCAAGCAGCAGGCCUGUCCUACUGUGAGAAGCAAUAGUCUAGCCCAGCAGACAGUCUCUGACUUCACCUUCUUGGAGUUUUCAUUCCAGCUGUAAAUCUUUCCAAAUGGCUCUUGCUCCAGAAGCAUUUUCAAAGAAAUGAAAAUUGUGAUCGCCAGGGUGAAGAAACAAAGGCCUUUUAUUCAGUAACAGAAAUGAAGAGACCCGAGUCGCUUCCCCCCAGAACCCCCCCCCCCCCACCCCCGACGGCGCCCGCUCCAGCUGUUUGCCUGCACCUGACGUCUAGGCCAAGAAGUCAGGAGCUGGCAGAUGGCUGGAACGGGAGGCCAGGUGGGCGUGAAGUGUGAGAGAGGCCAGUCCGAGCUUCCAAAUUAGGGCUCUCAGAGGAUUUGUCCCGAGGCCUGUGCAUGAGCCCCGUCCCCAGGUGGGGGUGUAGGAGAGGCCUGGUGCCUGAGAACUGUCCCCAGACGAGGCUGACAGGGAGGCCAGGCUGUCAGGACACGCCACCUCCAUUAGCGCAGAGCAAGCAGGCACCUCGGAGCUUUGGAACUGGAAGUGGGUCCUCCCCCCAGACGGCCUCAGCGACCUCUUCCCUGGGAGGCGGGGCCAAGGCCUCUCCAAGGCUUUGUGGGUCCUGAUCCCCAGAGCCUGUGACUGUGCUACGUAACAUGGAGAAAGGGACUUUGCCGAUGAGAAUAAGGAUCUUGAGACAGACGUUAUCCUGGACUAUCCAGGUGAGCCCAGGGUAGUCCACGCAUCCUUGCAAGAAAGGCAGGAGGCGGGACUUCCCAUGGUGGCUCCAUGGUAAAGAACACGACUAGCGUCCAUGAGGAUGCAGGUUCUAUCCCUGGCCCUGCUCAACGGGUUAAGACUCCUACGGAUCCGGCAUUGCCACAAGCUCUGGUGUAGGUCGUGGCUUG